GAUGAACGCUGGCGGCGUGCUUAACACAUGCAAGUCGAACGAAGCACUUUAAUUGAUCUCUUCGGAAUGAAGUUUUUGUGACUGAGUGGCGGACGGGUGAGUAACGCGUGGGUAACCUGCCUCAUACAGGGGGAUAACAGUUGGAAACGACUGCUAAUACCGCAUAAGCGCACAGGAUUGCAUGAUCCAGUGUGAAAAACUCCGGUGGUAUGAGAUGGACCCGCGUCUGAUUAGCCAGUUGGCGGGGUAACGGCCCACCAAAGCGACGAUCAGUAGCCGACCUGAGAGGGUGACCGGCCACAUUGGGACUGAGACACGGCCCAAACUCCUACGGGAGGCAGCAGUGGGGAAUAUUGCACAAUGGGGGAAACCCUGAUGCAGCGACGCCGCGUGAGCGAAGAAGUAUUUCGGUAUGUAAAGCUCUAUCAGCAGGGAAGAAGAAUGACGG
rnacentral:rRNA from 1 species